UACAGAGGUCUCAAGCGUUGUUCGGAUUCAUUGGGCGUAAAGGGUGUGUAGGUGGCGCGCUAAGUCGGGUGUGAAAUUUCGGAGCUUAACUCCGAAACUGCAUUCGAUACUGGCGUGCUUGAGGACUGGAGAGGAGACUGGAAUUCAUGGUGUAGCAGUGAAUUGCGUAGAGAUCAUGAGGAAGACCAGUGGCGAAGGCGGGUCUCUGGACAGUUCCUGACACUGAGACACGAAGGCCAGGGGAGCAAACGGG
rnacentral:rRNA from 1 species